ensembl:lincRNA 1700022A22Rik RIKEN cDNA 1700022A22 gene
GGGGCAUGACUUGGUGGUAUCUGCUCCACAUGCCCUACAGAACAUGGUUUGCUGGCCACCUGACUGGUAGCUUACCAGUGUUCAUAUGACCCACUAUCUGACUCUGUUGACACUGUCCAGGCCACCAGGAAGCCAGGGCAGUGGCCUUGAGAGUUGCCCCAGUGAUGGUGGUCCAAGGCCUAAGAUCACCAGGACCCAAGCUCUUGUACUCUGUUGAAGAUCUGGCAUUCAUCUCAAGAGACCCCAACAACCGCUUUGAACCAGAAAAAGAACUCUGGUAUGUACCAUCAGGAAAGAUGAUUCUACCACAAGAACAAGUGUUGACAAUGAUAAGACAAAUGCAUCAAUGGCCCUACCUAAGGAUAUCAAGUUAACUCAAACUGCCUUAAGACCUAAGUAUUAUGUUCCAGGACUGAAACAACCUGGUGGAACAAAUAGUUUACAGUUGUGUUCCCUGCCAAAAAGUAAAUGCUUGCAGAAGCAAAGCUGACCCCAGUAAGAGACCUCAGGGAGAUAAGCCAGGAGCCUAUUGGGAAGUGGAUUUCACCGAGAUAAAACCAGGUUAAUGGGCCUGCAGGUGGUACAAAAAGAAGUGUGGUCACAGCUGACAGCUUCCUAUGAACCUGGUAGCCCUAAGACAUCACAUCAGUUCCAGAUUGGAGAUUCAGUAUAUGUGAGGUAACACCAUGCCUAGAUGUUUGAGCCCCGUUGGAAAGGACACUAUCUAGUACUGCUAACUACUCAAACGGCUAUAAAGGGAGACAGAAUCACCACAGGGAUACAUGCCUUGCUCCCCCAACUAAAACUGGAAUUCCAGAAGACCACCCCACUUGGAGAGUCCAGAAUACAAAGAACCCACUGAAGCUGAAGAUCAUCAAAGGGCUCAAAGAUGUGGGUCCUUACCCUGUCAAGAAUUUUAAUCUGAAAUAUUCACAGAAGUGUGCCAUGAAAUUGAAAAUAUUUCAUCACUGAGUGACAUAUUUCUCCAAUGGAAGGCUAUACAAGCCAGAGGAGUUGACAGGAACAGAAGCAAAUUACAAAUAAAAUUACUGAGAACAUAGUACCUAGAAGCCACAACUGUUGUCAUUUGGUUUCCUGUGAUGCCUGUGGCCAUGGCUAUCGCAGACCUCCUGUAAGGCCUUCAGACUCUGGUGUCUUCAGAGGGACAGACAAGCUGCUGUUUUGCUGCCCUGUCAGUGAUCCUGACUCUGAACGAGGGCAGGAAGGAGAAAGAAAGAAACAAGGAGGGUGAGAAAGAAUUGAGAAGGGAGAAGCAAUACAGAGAGACUACUUGGGCUUUCUGGACCUAAAUUAAAUGAUAUUUGAAGACAAAAACCUGAGGCAUAUGCAUGGAAUGGUUACACAGAACUGUUCUGGUUAUACUUCCUUUACUUCAUAUAAUGUAUACCAAAAGCAAGCACACAAAAAAGAAAAUACUCAAGUUUACAAACUAACAAG